AGAAAUAUAUAAAUUAAAAUAAAGCUGCUAACUUUACUUUUAGUGGUGAAAUUCCAUUAAUAUUUCUA
rnacentral:tRNA from 1 species